GACAGUUUGUACAGAAAUUCUUUAGUUAUGCAAACUGAUUGUUGCAGUAGCUGUCCGGGUGGCUUGUCUCAGACGAUCUUGGAGGUGAAGAUGCUGGAUGUGGAGGUCUUGUGCAGGUUUGGUUACACGUGGUCUGCGGUUGUGAGGACGGUUGGAUGUACUGCCAAAUUCUCUGAAAUUAUUUUGGAGACUGCUCAUGGUAGCCGCGAAAUGAGCAUUCGAG